GUAUGAAAUGUAUGCAUAAGUCGCUCUGGAUAAGAGCGUCUGCUAAAUGACUAAAA
rfam:Salmo salar isolate Sally breed double haploid chromosome ssa13, whole genome shotgun sequence.